AAUUAUUUAUUGUGGAAUAAACGCGUGUGUUUCCAUCUUGCUGUUCGUUACUCGACAUUCCGUCCACUAGGGGCGCAAGGGCGUCGUCAUACCUGCUACCGUCAGAACACAAAGAACGUGAUAAAGGGAUAUAAGAUCAGUCCCUGGUGCAGGCUUUGUGCUGAUGACAUUGUGUUCUGUAGCACCAAUCAAGAGAAUGGAGAAGGGCUUUGGAAGAAAGAAGAUUCAAGAUAAAUAGGAAGAAGAAAACCAAACAUCUGAGGUUUAUGGUCAGGAUUCAGAAGUGAGCCUGCAAGGGGGAGCCAUUGAAAAGAGUGGACACUGUAAAAAGUAUAACAUUGAUGUUGUUCAUUCAAUUCGAACUUUCCAGCAUGCUGGCUUUCCAACACUUUCCCGAGUGGAGCGGACGUGGAUAUCCAGGUCUGGUCAUUUUCAGCAGCAGACUUUUAUAACGGAGGAUUUCUGUGUAGGAUGGGAGGAAGCCCAAGAUGGAGAAGGAGAUGACCCACAGAAUGCAGUGUGGAUGGAACACUUGGAGGAAGGCAUCAGGAGUGUCGUGUGAUUGAAGAAUUAAGGAGAAGGUUAAAGCUCCGAGAAGCCACCUGGUUAAGACACUUAGCUCUGCCCCUUCCGGAAGUAGCACCAUAAAAGCAGCACCGGCACAGAGAAAGGCGUCUUCUGCUGGGAGACUGGAAUGAGCCACACGGCGUAGCUCGUGACUCUCAAAGAUUCAUCCAGAGAAAGA